UGGCGUUAUAGUUCAACGGGAUAGAACAAGGACCUCCUAAGUCUUAGAUCACAGUUCGAGUCUGUGUAACGUCAUC
rnacentral:tRNA from 1 species